GCGAGCGGCGGAUGGGUGAGUAACACGUGGGGAACCUGCCCCUAAGUCUGGGAUACCAUUUGGAAACAGGUGCUAAUACCGGAUAAUAAAGCAGAUCGCAUGAUCAGCUUUUGAAAGGCGGCGUAAGCUGUCGCUAAGGGAUGGCCCCGCGGUGCAUUAGCUAGUUGGUAAGGUAACGGCUUACCAAGGCGACGAUGCAUAGCCGAGUUGAGAGACUGAUCGGCCACAUUGGGACUGAGACACGGCCCAAACUCCUACGGGAGGCAGCAGUAGGGAAUCUUCCACAAUGGACGCAAGUCUGAUGGAGCAACGCCGCGUGAGUGAAGAAGGUUUUCGGAUCGUAAAGCUCUGUUGUUGGUGAAGAAGGAUAGAGGUAGUAACUGGCCUUUAUUUGACGGUAAUCAACCAGAAAGUCACGGCUAACUACGUGCCAGCAGCCGCGGUAAUACGUAGGUGGCAAGCGUUGUCCGGAUUUAUUGGGCGUAAAGCGAGCGCAGGCGGAAAAAUAAGUCUAAUGUGAAAGCCCUCGGCUUAACCGAGGAACUGCAUCGGAAACUGUUUUUCUUGAGUGCAGAAGAGGAGAGUGGAACUCCAUGUGUAGCGGUGGAAUGCGUAGAUAUAUGGAAGAACACCAGUGGCGAAGGCGGCUCUCUGGUCUGCAACUGACGCUGAGGCUCGAAAGCAUGGGUAGCGAACAGGAUUAGAUACCCUGGUAGUCCAUGCCGUAAACGAUGAGUGCUAAGUGUUGGGAAGGUUUCCGCCUCUCAGUGCUGCAGCUAACGCAUUAAGCACUCCGCCUGGGGAGUACGACCGCAAGGUUUGAAACUCAAAGGAAUUGACGGGGG
rnacentral:rRNA from 1 species